UUCUUACCUGAACCCACACCCACGUAUGCAAUAACAAUAAUGCAUGCUCUGUGUUCAUUGUAAACCCACCGGUGAAAGGAGGGGGUAGAGAAAUUCAAUUAAAACAUUGUUUUCACCGCUAAACAGACACCAAGUGCCAAUGUACAAGGAAGAAACCAUUUAUAAUCAGAUUUAACCCAGCUUUGAAGAAUGCAAGCCCCACCUUCAUAUCUGCAGCAUAACUCGCUGUUUAUUGUGUACCACAAACCCAGUCUAGUUUAUUGUUCAACUUUGACUUCAGUGCCGUAAAGUAUAAUACCAUUUCCAGCCACCAAGUGGUGCUAUGCAACAAGUAACAUCCAUAUAGAAAACAAAGUGACAUUUUAGCAAACAUUUUAAAAUACGUUUUGAAAGUCACAAUGUGCAUCGGAUUUAAUGCAUAAGGCUGCACGUUCUACAUUCUCUUUAUCAUUCCCCCACAAUUUUUAGCAACCAUAGUGGUGACGAGGUCUCUGAUGAUCACCUCCAGCAUUGUGAGUGUGGCUGCCUUCUUGUGCCUGCUUCUAGGAUUCAGACACUUCCAUUACUGUAGAGAUGCCAUGAUGAGAAGGCGGCUGCAGAGACUGGCUGCUGCAUUGUAUUUCCUAGUAGGAGUGUCUUCUACUGGUGCCAUAAUUAGAUACUGUGUGUAUGUUUACCAUAUUCACCAAUAUGAGGUCUCUCUAAAAAUCCCAGGCUUCCCCAGUUUUGAAUAUGGUUACUCAUUGUGGACAGCGGUUGGUGCAACAUUAGCAGCUCUCUUAUCUGCCAUUAUCUCAACCUAUGAAAGCUUCUGCAAGGAGAUAAAGAAUAAAGAAAGGACAAAGGAGAGUCCGUCUCAAACCAAGCAAUCCAUCAGCACAUAUGUUUAACACCCCCAGCCCCACUUCAACCAGUUGGAUGUGUUUCUUUAAGCCUGGAUAAGAACCCGUGAGAUCAUGUUUGUUGCUGUAUAAAUAGGUGUUGGGUUUGUUUUUCCAUAUAUAUUCAGUAUACUGUGGUGUUUGUCAAUCAAAUAAAAUGAUGAUAUAGUAUCUGUGUUACUCUAAAAGGGGAAAGUGAAACUGUAGCCGCAGGUAGCAAUAGAGCAAAGCGAUCUGUCUGUUUCUUAUAAAGACUACAAAGCGAUCGGUCUGCCUCUGUUAUAAAGACUGCAAAGCAAUCUGUCUGUCUGUCUCUUAU